UGACCAGAUAGACAGAUGUUGUCCAGGUGUAUUGACAUGUUAGACAGAUGUUUUCCAGGUGUAUUGACAUGUUAGAGAGAUGUUGUCCAGGUGUAUUGACCAGAUAGACAGAUGUUGUCCAGGUGUAUUGACAUGUUAGAGAGAUGUUGUCCAGGUGUAUUGACAUGUUAGACAGAUGUUGCCCAGGUGUAUUGACCAGAUAGACAGAUGUUGUCCAGGUGUAUUGACCAGAUAGA